GCCCUGGUAGCUCAGUGGUAGAGCAGACGCCUGAAGAGCGUCGUGUCGUCAGUUCAAUUCUGACCCGGGGCACCA
rnacentral:tRNA from 3 species